UACGAAGGGGGCUAGCGUUGCUCGGAAUUACUGGGCGUAAAGGGCGCGUAGGCGGAUAGUUUAGUCAGAGGUGAAAGCCCAGGGCUCAACCUUGGAAUUGCCUUUGAUACUGGCUAUCUUGAGUUCGGGAGAGGUGAGUGGAAUGCCGAGUGUAGAGGUGAAAUUCGUAGAUAUUGGGAAGAACACCGGUGGCGAAGGCGGCGACCUGGUCCUUUACUGACGCUGAGGCGCGAAAGCGUGGGGAGCAAACAGG
rnacentral:rRNA from 1 species